UACAGAGGGUGCAAGCGUUGUUCGGAAUUAUUGGGCGUAAAGCGCGCGUAGGCUGUUUGUUAAGUCUGACUGUGAAAUCCCGGGGCUCAACUCCGGAAGUGCAUCGGAAACUGGCAAACUAGAGUCACGGAGAGGGUGGUGGAAUUCCUGGUGUAGAGGUGAAAUUCGUAGAUAUCAGGAGGAACAUCGGUGGCGAAGGCGACCACCUGGACGAUGACUGACGCUGAGGUGCGAAAGCGUGGGGAGCAAACAGG
rnacentral:rRNA from 1 species